UGGGCGCAGCCUGAUGCAGCCAUGCCGCGUGUGUGAAGAAGGCCUUCGGGUUGUAAAGCACUUUCAGUCGUGAGGAAGGUAGUGUAGUUAAUAGCUGCAUUAUUUGACGUUAGCGACAGAAGAAGCACCGGCUAACUCCGUGCCAGCAGCCGCGGUAAUACGGAGGGUGCGAGCGUUAAUCGGAAUUACUGGGCGUAAAGCGCAUGCAGGUGGUUUGUUAAGUCAGAUGUGAAAGCCCGGGGCUCAACCUCGGAAUUGCAUUUGAAACUGGCAGACUAGAGUACUGUAGAGGGGGGUAGAAUUUCAGGUGUAGCGGUGAAAUGCGUAGAGAUCUGAAGGAAUACCGGUGGCGAAGGCGGCCCCCUGGACAGAUACUGACACUCAGAUGCGAAAGCGUGGGGAGCAAACAGGAUUAGAUACCCUGGUAGUCCACGCCGUAAACGAUGUCUACUUGGAGGUUGUGGCCUUGAGCCGUGGCUUUCGGAGCUAACGCGUUAAGUAGACCGCCUGGGGAGUACGGUCGCAAGAUUAAAACUCAAAUGAAUUGACGGGGGCCCGCACAAGCGGUGGAGCAUGUGGUUUAAUUCGAUGCAACGCGAAGAACCUUACCUACUCUUGACAUCCAGAGAACUUUCCAGAGAUGGAUUGGUGCCUUCGGGAACUCUGAGACAGGUGCUGCAUGGCUGUCGUCAGCUCGUGUUGUGAAAUGUUGGGUUAAGUCCCGCAACGAGCGCAACCCUUAUCCUUGUUUGCCAGCGAGUAAUGUCGGGAACUCCAGGGAGACUGCCGGUGAUAAACCGGAGGAAGGUGGGGACGACGUCAAGUCAUCAUGGCCCUUA
rnacentral:rRNA from 1 species